rnacentral:lncRNA from 1 species
CACAAUGGGAGAUGCAAUUGGAGCAUGCAUUGCAUGGCCUCGACACUUGGUAAUCAUCUAUUCUUAAAUUCUUUUUCUAUUCUUAAAAACCAUGAUUCUUAUUUCUCAUUAGAUCAAUAGAUUCAAAUUAGAUUUGAUUUGAACUCAUAAUCCUGAUGUUCUUUUCAUUUUAGGUGACCGACGACGAUGAUGAUUGAAGAAGAUUGAUCGUGCUGGCUGUUGUUCUCUUUUUUGAUGUCUAUUUUUUGGUCUUUGCCACGACAAAAUGAAUGAAAGAAACUUAGUUAUGGUUAUUUCCUCAAGAAUCUUGUGAGUUUUAUUAAGUUUUAACAUGGUUAUAGCUUUGGUGACAUACAAGAGUGGUGGAGCAGAUGUAUUUCAUAAGAUCUUAAAGUUUGUUGUUUUGGAACGAGUUCAGUUGGAACAUAUAAAUGAAUUUAGCAAUAUUUCUAUGGUUA